rnacentral:rRNA from 1 species
CUACGGGUCGCAGCAGUCGCGGAACUUUUACAAUGCACGCAAGUGUGAUAAAGCAAGCCAAAGUGUUUUUCGUAUAGAAAAACUUUUUCUUAGUGUAAAAACCUAGGAGAAUAAGGACUGGGAAAGACUGGUGCCAGCCGCCGCGGUAAUACCAGCAGUUCAAGUUGCAUCCCUUUUUAUUGGGUCUAAAACAUCCGUAGCUUGCCGUUUAAGUCUCUUGUGAAAUCCUACGUCUCAAGCGUGGGGCUUGCAGGAGAUACUGGACGGCUAGAGAUCGGUAGACGUAAGGAGUACGCCGGGGGUAAUGGUAAAAUAUGUUAAUCCUCGGUGGACUAACAAUCAGCGAAGGCACCUUACGAGGACGAAUCUGACAGUGAGGGAUGAAGGCCAGGGGCGCAAAACGGAUUAGAUACCCCCGUAGUC